UCCCGGGUGGCUCAGUGGUAAAGAAUCCCCCUGCCAAGCAGAAGAUGCAGGUUCGAUCCCUGUGUUGGGAA
rnacentral:tRNA from 1 species